UCUGUAUAAACAUAUCCGUGAUGUCCGC
rnacentral:sRNA from 1 species